GCGGGAAUAGCUCAGCUGGUAGAGCGCAACCUUGCCAAGGUUGAGGUCGCGAGUUCGAGUCUCGUUUCCCGCUCCA
rnacentral:tRNA from 10 species